UACGUAGGGUGCGAGCGUUAAUCGGAAUUACUGGGCGUAAAGCGUGCGCAGGCGGCUUUGCAAGACAGAUGUGAAAUCCCCGGGCUCAACCUGGGAGCUGCAUUUGUGACUGCAAGGCUGGAGUGCGGCAGAGGGGGAUGGAAUUCCGCGUGUAGCAGUGAAAUGCGUAGAUAUGCGGAGGAACACCGAUGGCGAAGGCAAUCCCCUGGGCCUGCACUGACGCUCAUGCACGAAAGCGUGGGGAGCAAACGGG
rnacentral:rRNA from 1 species